CGGGCUCAUCCCUAGGGACUGCAUUUGUUGCUGCAGGCCUGUAGGUUUUGUAGAGGGGGGGGAGAAUUCCCAGGUGCAUCGAUCAAAUUAGUAGAGAAUCUGGAGGAAAGACCGGUGGGAAAGGCGCCCCCCCCCCCCCAAAAACUUAUCGCUCAGGUGAAGAAGAGUGGGGAGCGAAACAGGAUUAAAUACCCUGGUAGGCCACCCCCGUCACCGAUGUCAAUUUGGAGGUUGGGCCCGUGAGGCGUGCCUUCCGAAGCUAACGCGUUAAUUCGGCCGCCUGCGGAGUGCGUCCGCUAGGUUAAAACUCAAAUGAAUUGACGGGGGCCCGCCCAAGCGGUGGAGCAUGUGGGUUAAUUCGAUGCAACGCGAAGAACCUUCCUUGGUCUUCACAUCCACAGAACUUUCCAGAGAUGGAUUGGUGCCUUCGGGAACUGUGACACAGGUACUGCAUGGGCGUGGUCGUCUCGUGUUGUUGUAGGUUGGGUUAAGUCCCGCUACGACCGCGACCCUUAUCCUUUGCUUCCGUCGGUUAGCCCGGGCACUCAAAGGAGACUGCCGGUGAUAAACUGGAGGAAGGUGGGGAUGACGUCAAGUCAU
rnacentral:rRNA from 1 species